UAAUUUGGCACGGAAUGUCCGUUC
rnacentral:snRNA from 1 species